CCUACGGGUGGCAGCAGUGGGGAAUAUUGCACAAUGGGGGAAACCCUGAUGCAGCGACGCCGCGUGAGUGAAGAAGGAUUUCGGUAUGUAAAGCUCUAUCAGCAGGGAAGAUAAUGACGGUACCUGACUAAUAAGCCCCGGCUAACUACGUGCCAGCAGCCGCGGUGAUACGUAGGGGGCAAGCGUUAUCCGGAUUUACUGGGUGUAAAGGGUGCGUAGGCGGCAGAGCAAGUCAGAUGUGAAAUCCCAUGGCUUAACCCCGGAACUGCAUUUGAAACUGUUAAGCUAGAGUGUAGGAGAGGUAAGUGGAAUUCUUAGUGUAGGGGUAAAAUGCGUAGAUAUUAAGAGGAAUA
rnacentral:rRNA from 1 species